GAGUUCAAGAGUACGUGAAACUGCUUAGAGGUUAAGCCCGAUGAACCUGAAUAUCCAUUAUGAAAAAUUCAUCGCUAGUAUUGUAAUAUUUAUCAUGUUAUAAAAAUAGUGUGCAAUUUUUUCAUAUAAGGACAUUGUAAUCUGUUAAUGUAUUAAAUAUUUAUCAAAAGGUCUAUUACUUAAGUUUAUUUAAAUUAGUUAUUUUCGGAUUUCUAACAUAGAAUAAAUGUAUUUAGAUUUGAUAAAUCAUUGACAGAUUUAAUUAUAUAUAAUGCUUAAAUUUUAAAAAUUUUACAAUAAUAAAUAAUUCUAUUGAUUUGUUUAUAUUGUAUGCACUUAUAUGAUUAACAAUGCGAUAGAUUCAGGAUACCUUCGGGACCCGUCUUGAAACACGGACCAAGGAGUCUAACAUAUGUGCAAGUCAUUGGGUAUUUUUAAUAAAACCCAAUGGCAUAAUUAACUUAACUGUUUUUAAAUGGGAUUUGUUUAUAUUUUAUUAUGAAAUAUGAAUUCAAUCCCGGGGCGUUCUAUACAGUUAUGUAUAAUGAUAUUUAUAUUAUUUAUACCUCUAACUAGAGC
rnacentral:rRNA from 1 species